rnacentral:antisense_RNA from 1 species
AAAUCUGAGACAGCCUUGGUCUGAGGGAGCAAAGACAGAGAAUUCACGUGCUGCCCAGGCAUAGCCACAUAGCAGGUGGACAUCCCUGGACACUUUUCUGAGUGGCAGAGAUUGGCCUGGGACCCAGCUCACAAUAUGACCAUGGAAAAUUUUACAUAAGCUGAAGAUAAGUUCAAUUACACGAGUGAUUAUUAGAGUUGUCCCAUUGUUAUCUACAGAGGGGUGUGGAGCACGAGAGAAAGCACAGGCUUUGGUAUCAGAAUGAUGCUGGCCUCAUAAAAUGAGUUAGGGAGGAUUCCCUCUUUUUCUAUUGAUUGGAAUAGUUUCAGAAGGAAUGGUACCAGUCCCUCCUUGUACCUCUGGUAGAAUUCGGCUGUGAAUCCAUCUGGUCCU